rnacentral:rRNA from 1 species
UUUGUCUGUAUGGCAAAUGUGAAAUGCAGUGUAUGGAAUGUCAAAUUUCUAGUAUGAGAAAUUAAUGAUUUAAGUCCUUCUUAAAUGAGGCCAUUUACCCAUAGAGGGUGCCAGGCCCGUAUAACAUUAAUAAUUACUAGAUGGCAUUUCCAAAGAGUCGUGUUGCUUGAUAGUGCAGCACUAAGUGGGUGGUAAACUCCAUCUAAAACUAAAUAUAACCAUGAGACCGAUAGUAAACAAGUACCGUGAGGGAAAGUUGAAAAGAACUCUGAAUAGAGAGUUAAAUAGUACGUGAAACUGCUUAGAGGUUAAACCCGAUGAACCUGAAUAUCCAUUAUAGAAAAUUCAUCAUUAUGAUUUUAAUAUAUUAUAAUAAUGGUGUGCAUUUUUUCUAUAAAAGGACAUUGUAAUCUAUUAACAUAAAAUAUUUAUCAUAAGAUCAACAAAAGUUUAUUUCAAUUAUAUUGUUUUACAAUUUAACAUAGAAUAAAUGCUUUUUGAUUUGAUAAAGUGUUGAUAGAUUUAAUAUAGUGCUUAAAUAAUAUUUUAUAAUAGCAUAUUGAUUAAUAAUUUUUAUGUUUAUUAUAUGCACUUAUAUGAUUAACAAUGCGAAAGAUUCAGGAUACCUUCGGGACCCGUCUUGAAACACGGACCAAGGAGUCUAACAUAUUUGCAAGUUAUUGGGAAACCUAAUAGCGAAAUUAACAUAACAUAAUGGGAUUAGUUUUUAGCCGGUCUAUUAAUUCAAUCCCGGGGCGUUCUAUACAGUUAUGUAUAAUAAUAUUUAUAUUAUUUAUACCUCUAACUAGAGCGUACCUUGAGCAUAUAUGCUGUGACCCGAAAGAUGGUGAACUAUACUUGAUCAGGUUGAAGUCAGGGGAAACCCUGAUGGAAGACCGAAACAGUUCUGACGUGCAAAUCGAUUGUCAGAAUUGAGUAUAGGGGCGAAAGACCAAUCGAACCAUCUAGUAGCUGGUUCCCUCCGAAGUUUCCCUCAGGAUAGCUGGUGCAUUUAAAAAUAAUGUAAAAUAAUCUUAUCUGGUAAAGCGAAUGAUUAGAGGCCUUAGGGUCGAAACGACCUUAACCUAUUCUCAAACUUUAAAUGGGUAAGAACCUCACCUUUCUUGGUAUGAAGGUUGUGGUUGUGAUAUAAUGUGCCCAGUGGGCCACUUUUGGUAAGCAGAACUGGCGCUGUGGGAUGAACCAAACGUAAUGUUACGGUGCCAAAAUUAACAACUCAUGCAGAUACCAUGAAAGGCGUU